GAUGAACGCUAGCUACAGGCUUAACACAUGCAAGUCGAGGGGAAACGACAUCGAAAGCUUGCUUUUGAUGGGCGUCGACCGGCGCACGGGUGAGUAACGCGUAUCCAACCUGCCCACCACUUGGGGAUAACCUUGCGAAAGUAAGACUGAUACCCAAUGACGUCUCUAGAAGACAUCUGAAGGAGAUUAAAGAUUUAUCGGUGAUGAUGGGGAUGCGUCUGAUUAGCUUGUUGGCGGGGUAACGGCCCACCAAGGCGACGAUCAGUAGGGGUUCUGAGAGGAAGGUCCCCCACAUUGGAACUGAGACACGGUCCAAACUCCUACGGGAGGCAGCAGUGAGGAAUAUUGGUCAAUGGGCGAGAGCCUGAACCAGCCAAGUAGCGUGCAGGAUGACGGCCCUAUGGGUUGUAAACUGCUUUUAUAAGGGAAUAAAGUGAGUCUCGUGAGACUUUUUGCAUGUACCUUAUGAAUAAGGACCGGCUAAUUCCGUGCCAGCAGCCGCGAUAA
rnacentral:rRNA from 1 species